rnacentral:rRNA from 1 species
GAUGAACGCUGGCGGCGUGCCUAAUACAUGCAAGUCGAGCGAACAGACGAGGAGCUUGCUCCUCUGACGUUAGCGGCGGACGGGUGAGUAACACGUGGAUAACCUACCUAUAAGACUGGGAUAACUUCGGGAAACCGGAGCUAAUACCGGAUAAUAUAUUGAACCGCAUGGUUCAAUAGUGAAAGACGGUUUUGCUGCCACUUAUAGAUGGAUCCGCGCCGCAUUAGCUAGUUGGUAAGGUAACGGCUUACCAAGGCAACGAUGCGUAGCCGACCUGAGAGGGUGAUCGGCCACACUGGAACUGAGACACGGUCCAGACUCUUACGGGAGGCAGCAGUAGGGAAUCUUCCGCAAUGGGCGAAAGCCUGACGGAGCAACGCCGCGUGAGUGAUGAAGGUCUUCGGAUCGUAAAACUCUGUUAUUAGGGAAGAACAAAUGUGUAAGUAACUAUGCACGUCUUGACGGUACCUAAUCAGAAAGCCACGGCUAACUACGUG